AGUCUGUUUAGACUUCAUAUUCAGAACCCCUAGGGAGUGGUCCCACAGGCCUGGGCACCGUGCCUCUCGGAUGCUGGCUUGUGACGACGCAUUUCUGCUCAAGCCGGGGAGAUGAAACCCCCGUGGGGAGAGGCUUGGCUCUGGCUCCUCUUCUCCCGGCAAAAACACAGGCUUCAAAUGAGCUUUCUGUCCAGAACUUUAAUAUGUUAAAAAUGACUGUGGAGCUGGACUCUGCCUUCCAGUGCCUGAAGCUGCAGGAGUGGAAGCCUCCUGGGGCAUGAGAGGGAGAGAGGGGAUGAUGAAGGGGACCUGACUUGAUCCUGCUAGAAUCCCCAAGGUCAGACAUUCCGUUCUGGAGAAUCCUGGUACAUAGAGUGUCGGAGCCAGAAGGAAAGUUAGCUGUGGUCUCAUCUGACCUCUUUCCCAUGACAGAUGGGAGCAGACCCUGCAGAGAAGAAAUGAAUUGCACAAGGUCACAAGGAGGGUUGGAGAAUCCUGGGCUCCUGGCCCCUGUUCUGGUGCUCUGAUUCCCAAACCCUGGCACCCCUUACUCCAGAGGAUUUGAAAGGUACAUCACUCAAGGUCACAGGAUGCCUCUGGCUUUUUAAAUAACUAAAGAUGGGGGUCUCUCUAUGUUGCCCAAGCUGGCUUCAAACUCCUGGGCUCAAGUGAUCCUUCUGCCUUGGCCUCCAGAGCAGCUGCAUGUAAAUUACAGGUGAGCUCUACCAUGCCUGGCUGCUUCCUUUGUUAAUGAACGAAAACUCUAACUUAAAAUGCUUUACACUGAUGGUUUUCCAAGUGCAGUUCCCAGACCAGCUGGCAUCAGCAUCACUUUGUUAGAAAGGCCAGUUCUUGGCUUUACCUACUGAAUCAGAAAUUCUGGGGGUGGAGUCCAACCACCUGUGCUUUAACAGGUGAUGUUAAUACCCACUCCAGUUUGAGAUCCACUGCCUUCAGCAGUAAAGAUGUCUAUCAUCACACCAAUCAAGAUGCCCAGGGUUGGUUAUCUCAGUGGCCCAGUGACUGUAGGGUCCCAGGUUAUGCCUGUCUUCUCCUUCUCAUUCCUCUGUCCUCAGUGUGUGGGCCUCUGACUUCAUGCUUGGACUCUCCCAAUCACUAGGUGGCUGCUCCAUCCACAGCUUCACCGUGACUUCAGGAAGCAGAGGAGAUGGCCUCCCCGGACAUCCCUUUUCAUCAGUGAGAAAAUCUUGCCUGGAAGUUCCCUAGCAGACAUCCCCUCAUAUCUCAUUGGCCAGAAUUGGGCUGCGUUCCCUCCUCAAACCAAUCACUGGGAAAUGGAGUUAUGAUUAGUUAGGAGUAAUCUUCAGCUACAGAGAGGAAAUACAACCUAGUAAAACAAAGGCACAGGUCCUUUGCAGCAACCUGGAUGGAGUUGGAGACCAUUAUUGUAAGUGAAGUAACUGAGGAAUGGAAAACCAAACAUCGUAUGUUCUCACUCAUAGUGGGGGCUAAGCUGUGAGGACGGAAAGGCAUAAGAAUGAUACAAUGGGAGGCAGGAGGAUAGCUUAAGCCCAGGAGUUCAAGAUCAGCUCUGGUAACAUAGC
rnacentral:lncRNA from 1 species